rnacentral:lncRNA from 1 species
AACCCAACCCUUCCCCAUCGCCAACAACCACCCCCAACCCAUGCUUACCAUUCCCUCCCCAUCUUGCCACCCUGAUUUCUCCUCUUCCAUGGUAAAAAAGUAAAAAACAAAAUAAAGUUCUUCAAUAUGAGUUUACUGUUUAUAAACUCCAAUUGCAUAACCCUCAUGUCUGCACAGAGAAUAUGUGAAAAUGACAAGCAUGAAAUCAAAUAAAACCAAGUUGGAGAAGAUAAGAGAAGUUCUUGCGCCUUGGGGUUUUGGCGUUCAGAUAAUUUGUUGGGAUGGCUACGGUUGGGGGCAUAUUGGAUUUGUGAGGUUGGGUGUGGAUUUGGGGUGUCAGCUCGGGGUGAGUAUGGUUCGGGGUUGAAAGUGGCUAGGUGGAUUGGGAUUGAUUGUUAUUAAUGGUUUGGGGUGGGUGCAUCACCUGGGUAGGGAUAUCAUAUUUGAAAAAUGGUGGAGUGGUGGCCUUAGGUUGGGGGCGGCGGAUGGCGGUGAGGAAGGUUUG